rnacentral:rRNA from 1 species
UGAAUACGAGACGCUAAGGCGUCGAAGUAGUGUAUGUCAUACUUCCAAGAAAAGCUUGCACUGUCAUAGAUAAAAAACGCCUGUACCAUAACCGACACAGGUGGGUAGGUAGAGUAUACUAAGGGGCGCGAGAUAACUCUCUCUAAGGAACUCGGCAAAAUAACUCCGUAACUUCGGGAGAAGGAGUGCCUUAUUCUUAAGGUUGCAAUAACAAGGUCCAAGCAACUGUUUAUCAAAAACACAGGUCUCCGCUAAGUCGUAAGACGAUGUAUGGGGGCUGACGCCUGCCCAGUGCCAGAAGGUUAAAGAAGCUGGUUAGCAUUUGCGAAGCUAGUAACUGAAGCCCUGGUGAACGGCGGCCGUAACAAUAACGGUCCUAAGGUAGCGAAAUUCCUUGUCGGGUAAGUUCCGACCCGCACGAAAGGCGUAAUGAUUUGGAUACUGUCUCGGAGAGGGGUUCGGUGAAAUAGACUUGUCUGUGAAGAUGCGGACUACCUGCACCAGGACAGAAAGACCCUAUGAAGCUUUACUGUAACUUGAAAUUGAAAUUGGACUUUAUUCGCGCAGUAUAGGUGGGAGGCGUUGAUUAUAAUCUUGCGGGAUUAUUGGAGCCAUUAGUGAGAUACCACUCUUGUAAUGUUAGAUUUCUAACUUUGAAUCAUUAUCUGGUCAAAGAACAGUUUCAGGCGGGCAGUUUGACUGGGGCGGUCGCCUCCUAAACGGUAGCGGAGGCGUACAAAGGUUUCCUCUGAACGGUUAGAAAUCGUAUCUAGAGUGUAAAGGCAUAAGGAAGCUUGACUGUGAGACCUACAAGUCGAGCAGGUACGAAAGUCGGUCUUAGUGAUCUGACGGUACUGAGUGGAAAGGCCGUCACUCAACGGAUAAAAGUUACUCUAAGGAUAACAGGCUGAUCUCCCCCAAGAGUUCACAUCGACGGGGAGGUUUGGCACCUCGAUGUCGGCUCAUCGCAUCCUGGGGCGGUAGUACGUCCCAAGGGUUGGGCUGUUCGCCCAUGAAAGCGGUACGCGAGCUGGGUUCAGAACGUCGUGAGACAGUUCGGUCCAUAUCCGGUGUAGGCGUUAGAAUAUUGAGAGGAGCCUUCUUUAGUACGAGAGGACCGAGAAGGACAUACCUCUGGUGUACCAGUUAUCGUGCCAACGGUAAACGCUGGGUAGCUAUGUAUGGAGUGGAUAACCGCUGAAAGCAUCUAAGUGGGAAGCCCACCUCGAGAUAAGUAUUCUCAC